AUUGAACGCUGGCGGCAGGCCUAACACAUGCAAGUCGAGCGGCAGCGGGAAAGUAGCUUGCUACUUUUGCCGGCGAGCGGCGGACGGGUGAGUAAUGCCUGGGAAAUUGCCCAGUCGAGGGGGAUAACAGUUGGAAACGACUGCUAAUACCGCAUACGCCCUACGGGGGAAAGCAGGGGACCUUCGGGCCUUGCGCGAUUGGAUAUGCCCAGGUGGGAUUAGCUAGUUGGUGAGGUAAUGGCUCACCAAGGCGACGAUCCCUAGCUGGUCUGGGAGGAUGAUCAGCCAAACUGGAACCGAGACCAGGUCCAGGCUCCUACGGGAGGCAGCAGUGGGGAAUAUUGCACAAUGGGGGAAACCCUGAUGCAGCCAUGCCGCGUGUGUGAAGAAGGCCUUCGGGUUGUAAAGCACUUUCAGCGAGGAGGAAAGGUUGAUGCCUAAUACGCAUCAACUGUGACGUUACUCGCAGAAGAAGCACCGGCUAACUCCGUGCCAGCCGCCGCCGUAA
rnacentral:rRNA from 1 species